rnacentral:misc_RNA from 1 species
GAUGAAGAACGUAGUGAAAUGCGAUAAGUAGUGUGAAUUGCAGAAUUCAGUGAAUCAUCGAAUCUUUGAACGCACAUUGCGCCCCUUGGUACUCCAUGGGGCAUGCCUGUUCGAGCGUCAUUUACACCCUCAAGCUCAGCUUGGUGUUGGGCGUCUGUCCCGCUUCGUGCGCGGACUCGCCUCAAAUGCAUUGGCAGCGGUCUUGCCAGCUUCUCGCGCAGCACAUUGCGCUUCUAGAGGCUUUGGCAGAUCGGCGUCCAUCAAGUACACCCACAGUUUGACCUCGGAUCAGGUAGGGAUACCCGCUGAACUUAAGCAUAUCAAUAAGCGGAGGA